rnacentral:lncRNA from 1 species
AAAGGAAAAUAAAUUAGCCACUCAUGGUGUGUUUUUAACACAAAUGAGUUUUUGAAGAGUAGAAGAAAGAUGAAGAAAAAAUUACAAAAGUAGCAGAAGCUACUAUAUACGGUGUCAAGAAGAAGAGAGAAGAUGAUUCUACUUUGAUAACCACCCUCUUUAUAGAAAAGGAACCAAAUUUUCUUCUUUUGUUGAUUAGGAUAAUUUUUUUAUUAUUUUUUGGCAUAUCCCAAGCCUUCAAGAAUAUUUUGCCCUUUAUUUUUGGCCCCAUAUCUU